CAUGUCACAACAAGGUGUUAGCAGUGUCUCUAGUGGGUGUAGGUGAUGUCACCAGCCAUGUCACAACAAGGUGUUAGCAGUGUCUCUAGUGGGUGUAGGUGAUGUCACCAGUCAUGUCACAAC